rnacentral:rRNA from 1 species
UACGAAGGGUGCAAGCGUUACUCGGAAUUACUGGGCGUAAAGCGUGCGCAGGCGGUAAGUUAAGUCUGAUGUGAAAGCCCCGGGCUCAACCUGGGAAUGGCAUUGGAAACUGGCUUGCUGGAGUGUGGCAGAGGGGGGUGGAAUUCCGCGUGUAGCAGUGAAAUGCGUAGAGAUGCGGAGGAACACCGGUGGCGAAAGCGGCGCGCUGGACCUCUUCUGACGCUGAGGCGCGAAAGCCAGGGGAGCAAACGGG